ACGCUCGACACCUACGGGAGACAGCAGUAGGGAAUCUUCCACAAUGGGCGCAAGCCUGAUGGAGCAACACCGCGUGAGUGAAGAAGGGUUUCGGCUCGUAAAGCUCUGUUGUUGGAGAAGAACGUGCGUGAGAGUAACUGUUCACGCAGUGACGGUAUCCAACCAGAAAGUCACGGCUAACUACGUGCCAGCAGCAGCGGUAAUCUGAGCGGGCUGGCAAGGC
rnacentral:rRNA from 1 species